AGUGGACGCUGGCGGUAGGCCUAACACAUGCAAGUCGAACGGCAGCACAGUAAGAGCUUGCUCUUACGGGUGGCGAGUGGCGGACGGGUGAGGAAUACAUCGGAAUCUACUUUUUCGUGGGGGAUAACGUAGGGAAACUUACGCUAAUACCGCAUACGACCUACGGGUGAAAGCAGGGGAUCUUCGGACCUUGCGCGAUUGAAUGAGCCGAUGUCGGAUUAGCUAGUUGGCGGGGUAAAGGCCCACCAAGGCGACGAUCCGUAGCUGGUCUGAGAGGAUGAUCAGCCACACUGGAACUGAGACACGGGCCAGACUCCUACGGGAGGCAGCAGUGGGGAAUAUUGGACAAUGGGCGCAAGCCUGAUCCAGCCAUACCGCGUGGGUGAAGAAGGCCUUCGGGUUGUAAAGCCCUUUUGUUGGGAAAGAAAAGCAGCAGGUUAAUACCCCGCUGUUCUGACGGUACCCAAAGAAUAAGCACCGGCUAACUUCGUG
rnacentral:rRNA from 1 species